rnacentral:rRNA from 1 species
GGAAAGACCCCGUGAACCUUUACUAUAGCUUGACACUGAACAUUGAGCCUUGAUGUGUAGGAUAGGUGGGAGGCUUUGAAGUGUGGACGCCAGUCUGCAUGGAGCCGACCUUGAAAUACCACCCUUUAAUGUUUGAUGUUCUAACGUGGACCCGUAAUCCGGGUUGCGGACAGUGUCUGGUGGGUAGUUUGACUGGGGCGGUCUCCUCCUAAAGAGUAACGGAGGAGCACGAAGGUUGGCUAAUCCUGGUCGGACAUCAGGAGGUUAGUGCAAUGGCAUAAGCCAGCUUGACUGCGAGCGUGACGGCGCGAGCAGGUGCGAAAGCAGGUCAUAGUGAUCCGGUGGUUCUGAAUGGAAGGGCCAUCGCUCAACGGAUAAAAGGUACUCCGGGGAUAACAGGCUGAUACCGCCCAAGAGUUCAUAUCGACGGCGGUGUUUGGCACCUCGAUGUCGGCUCAUCACAUCCUGGGGCUGAAGUAGGUCCCAAGGGUAUGGCUGUUCGCCAUUUAAAGUGGUACGCGAGCUGGGUUUAGAACGUCGUGAGACAGUUCGGUCCCUAUCUGCCGUGGGCGCUGGAGAACUGAGGGGGGCUGCUCCUAGUACGAGAGGACCGGAGUGGACGCAUCACUGGUGUUCGGGUUGUCAUGCCAAUGGCACUGCCCGGUAGCUAAAUGCGGAAGAGAUAAGUGCUGAAAGCAUCUAAGCACGAAACUUGCCCCGAGAUGAGUUCUCCCUGAGACUUAGAGUCUCCUGAAGGAACGUUGAAGACGACGACGUUGAUAGGCCGGGUGUGUAAGCGCAGCGAUGCGUUGAGCUAACCGGUACUAAUGAACCGUGAGG